CGCUCUUCCGAUGAAUGAUUUAGUGAGGCCUUCGGACUGGUGCGCGGCACUCGCCGUUUAACCGCGGCGGUGCCGCCGUUGCCGGAAAGAUGGCCAAACUUGAUCAUUUAGAGGAAGUAAAAGUCGUAACAAGGUUUCCGUAGGUGAACCUGCGGAAGGAUCAUUA
rnacentral:rRNA from 1 species